GGAGUGAUAACCCUAACUGGUAAGGGAGUAGUCUUGAAAACUACCAGUAACCGUAGUGAUACGGCGUGAGGGUUCGAGUCCCUCUCACUCCG
rnacentral:tRNA from 1 species